UAUUUUCGUAACACACAUUUAUAUACAGUCGAUAAUUCGGAUGUUAUUUUAAACCAUCAAAAUAAAUUUCUAUGCAAAAUGUUCAUAUUUUGCUUAUCAAUCUCCUUUUUCCUGUUCUUCCACCUCACAGAAGCCUUUGGCAAUGGCUCGCUAACAUGUUCGUAAAUGCAUCUUAAGCGAGCCACAGUUGAUCGCUCGCUUGAACAGAUGCCACACUUCGUUUGCUGUAGGUGUGCUUCAUGACCAUUCACAUCAAGAUCACAGCUUGUGCAGCUGCAGUAUGUGACUGGCUAAGUGGCCACCAUCACGAUUCCUCUUCUUGCAAAUGACAUGCUUUAAUGCAGUGAUGAGAUCAAGGGAUGAGAGUUUGGCAGUGAUAUACCUCCCGCUUGUGGAGCUUAUGGUUCAGCUGCGUCGAGCGGUAAGCAAGCAUAAAGAUUCAAGCUUUAGGGCUUUCCGCAGUCAUAGCGUGGGUUCCCAUGGCGAACUGAACUCGGAGGGGCAUUUGGUGUUUGCGCAACUGGGAAAUCAGUAGCAGCUUCUCGGACAUCGGCGGCGGCGGCCACGGCCAUGGUGUUGAGAGUUCGGACAGCGAGGGAGGGUUUCGGCGUCCAAGAUGGAAACUUUAUAAACGUACCAAGUAGGGUUCCGGCUCUGCUUCCGUCUCGAGGAAUCGGGUUGGUAUUCACGGGAACCGUCGGAUGGGAUCCAACGGAGGGCGUGGCAACCAUCGAAGAGUCACGAGUGAGAUCCGCGAGCCGCAUUCCUCUCGUCUCUAUCCGGUCGUUCGCGGUCCAAUCAAAGACUGUCGCUUCUCCAAUCCGCCGCUUGUCGUCGUUCUCUAGGGUUCCUGUGGAACUGGGUUGCUGGGGUGGUUCUUUCUUCCCUUUGCACAGUGCGGUGGCGGCGGCAAAAUUGACUUCGCAGCUGAGCUCGGCGUCUCGGAGCGCUCGGGCUCUUUCACAGGGUUUCGUCGGCCGCGCCUGUCCGGGACCCUAGUGAUGUUGUUUCUCCCAUCAGGUUAUCUGUAAACGAGAACAAUGGAGCGUGAAAGAUUUGGUACCAUCCUGUAUCUCCAAGGAUGAUUCACCCAUGAUGCAAAAUUUGUGGUUUACGGAAGGAUGGCUCAUCUUCUGAGACGGUGAAGUUGAUCUCACUGCAGUGUUUUUACCUGUUAUUGGAUUGAUGAAAUUUGUACAAGUUCACUUCUGAUCAUACGAACUAAGCGUAUCUUUCGACACUGUUCUUGUGCUGACUCGCAGACAUUAUCUACUUUGUGGUAACAGGUGCGCCUUAAAAGUCAAUGUUCGUGUUAA